UUCGUAGGCGGUCCUUUAAGUCAGAAGUGAAAGGCAGUGGCUCAACCAUUGUAAGCUUUUGAAACUGGGGGACUUGAGUGUUGGAGAGGAAAGCGGAAUUCCUAGUGUAGCGGUGAAAUGCGUAGAUAUUAGGAGGAACACCAGUGGCGAAGGCGGCUUUCUGGACAAAUACUGACGCUGAGGAACGAAAGCGUGGGGAGCGAACAGGAUUGGAUACCCUGGUAGUCC
rnacentral:rRNA from 1 species